CUGUAUUUUGGCCAGUUUUCGUAGUGGCCACUCUUGCUGCCAUUGUUCGAAGUCAAGCAGUGAUUUCGGCUACCUUUUCCAUUGUAAGCCAGUGUUGCGCACUUAAUUGUUUUCCUCCGGUUAAGAUUGUUCAUACUUCAAGCAGAAUACAUGGACAGAUUUAUGCCCCAGAAGUCAAUUGGAUAUUAAUGUGCCUUUGUUUAGCUGUCACAAUUGGCCUAAGGGAUAUUGACAUGAUGGGUCAUGCAUGUGGUACACUUCUUUUUCACUAUGUUUACCUAUGAUAUUUUAAUUAUUGACAAGUGCUAACUAUUUUGCUUGGUCUGUAGGGCUGGCCACCACCACUAUUAUGUUUGUGACAACAUGCUUGAUGACACUAGUAAUGGUGAUUGUUUGGAAGCAAAAAAUAAUUAAAGCCAUUAUAUGAAUUUUAAAUUGCACUUCAAAAGAAUUAUGAAUUUGCCUGUGUUUAUUUUAAUAUGGGUCAUAAUAAAAAGAGGGAUAAAAAGAGAGAAAAUCAUAAAUAAAUCAAAUAAUUAGGAAUAAGGAAAGGGAUAAAAAAUAUCAUUAAAAUAAUUAUGUUUACUAUUUUGCAUGGGACAUCAUUAAUUUUGUGCUUUUAUAGUUGCUACGGAAGCUGAUUGUGUUUACUACAUGAUCAUUUUGAACAUGUAGUUUGUCCCUCGUGUUUGCUAAUUUAUUUACCUGGUAACUUUUGGUUUCUAGAAUCUUGAAACUAAUGGAUUUUGGGUGUAAGUUGCAGCUUGUUGUUACCAUAACCCAUCAGAGUCAUCUAUGUCCACUUCCUCUGACUGUACAACCCAUCACCUGGAAUUAUGACCAUUGUCUUUAUCUUUAUCCAACUCCACACACGAUAGUUUUGGGUGAUAGAAGUCAGUAGAAUGCAUUCAAGUACACAGGAAUCACUUGUUUUAAUACAGGUUCAUAUGCUACGGUGACAAGAAGCAUUACAAAGAAUCCCAACUCUAAUCUUGAAAAGCUCCAAAUUCUUAUAGCUUCAAAGGGAAAGUCAUUGUCACAGACUGUAGUCAAUGCUCUUAUGCAAAAGAGAAAUGCCCUGAUGGGCCUCUUCUUCUAGAAGAGGUGGUAUGAUUGUUUUAAGGAAAGUUGCAAUUCCAAAACCUAUCAACUUACCCAGUUAGAGAUGUUUUUGAGGCAUGUUCUUAAAGUACACUCUUUUUAAAAAUGAAGUUGAAGGAUGUUGUAUCUAAACUAUUUGAACUUUGGAAUUUGAUGGACUCAUGAAAAGAAGAGAGAAACUAUUUUAUGAAGAUUACUUCUAUUGUUGGAAUCUCAGAAUCAGAAAUCACUAAACGAGGUGUUCUUUCAACAGAAAUGAUAGAGAAGGUCUGGAAGCUUCUUUCAGUUCCCUCACCCUUUAUUGUUUUUUUCAUUCUUUGCAAUUUAUUCAAUGGAGAUGGAGCUCCUGGAUUGAAGAUUCCUUUUUCAGGGAUCAAUAUUAUUUAUUUAUUUAUGCAGAUGUUUUUGAGGCAUGUUCUUAAAGUACACUCUUUUUAAAAAUGAAGUUGAAAGAUGUUGUAUCUAAACUAUUUGAACUUUGGAAUUUGAUGGACUCAUGAAAAGAAGAGAGAAACUAUUUUAUGAAGAUUACUUCUAUUGUUGGAAUCGCAGAAUCAGAAAUCACUGAACGAGGUGUUCUUUCAACAGAAAUGAUAGAGAAGAUGUUUUUUAGGCAUAUUCUUAAAGUACACUCUUUUUAAAAAUGAAGUUGAAGGAUGUUGUAUCUAAACUAUUUGAACUUUGGAAUUUGAUGGACUCAUGAAAAGAAGAGAGAAACUAUUUUAUGAAGAUUACUUCUAUUGUUGGAAUCUCAGAAUCAGAAAUCACUGAACGAGGUGUUCUUUCAACAGAAAUGAUAGAGAAGGCUUUUGCAGAAGUGGACAGGCUUGCCAAACUAAAAGCAAGCAGAAUGAAAGAACUUGUUUUUAAGAAGAGGUCAAAGUUAGAGGAAAUAUGUAAAUUGACUCAUAUUGAACCAGAUACAAGUACUGCAGCCGAGAAAGCUAGUGCAUUAAUAGAUUUCGGUUUGUUCCUGUGCAUUAAUAGAUUAUUUACCUAUAACUACCU